AAAAGAAGACCUCCUAAACACGUGAUUUUGAAGUGCGGAAGUAAAGUUGUGAUUUCGGGAAAACGUAAGUGAAGAUUUGUUUUUCACGGGUGGAAAACAUUGGAAAAUAGCUAACCUAUAGAAUACAUUAUGGAUGACGAGGAGGAGACCUACAGACUAUGGAAAAUCCGCAAAACAAUCAUGCAGUAGUUGUGCCACGACAGGGGCUACCUUGUGACGCAGGAUGAGUUGGACCAGACUCUGGACGAGUUCAAGAGCCAGUUUGGGGACAAGCCGAGUGAAGGGCGCCCACGGCGGACAGAUCUCACUGUGCUGGUCGCCCACAACGAUGACCCAACCGACCAGAUGUUCGUCUUCUUUCCAGAGGAGCCCAAGGUAGGAAUCAAGACUAUAAAGAUGUACUGCCAGCGCAUGCAGGAGGAGAAUAUCACACGUGCCUGCAUCGUGGUCCAGAUGGGGAUGACGCCUUCCGCCAAACAGUCGCUAGUGGACAUGGCACCCAAAUACAUCCUGGAGCAGUUUCUACCACAGGAGCUCCUCAUCAACAUCACAGAGCAUGAGAACAUUUCACCCAGGAUAAAGGUGCAAGAGUGCCAAUUAUUUGGCUGCAAACUAUAACCUGCACACACAGUAUCUUGCCUAAAGGGGACUUUGAGCGUGUUCGAGUUGGCUUACUAAAGCAGAUGAGAACAGAUGGAAGUCGAGGAUUGCGGUUGGGGGAGCUGGUUCCUGAGCACAUAGUGAUGACAAAAGAAGAACUGUCAGAGUUGCUGCUUCGAUAUAAACUGAAGGAGAGCCAGCUACCCAGGAUUCAAGCUGGAGACCCUGUGGCCAGAUACUUUGGACUGAAAAGAGGACAGGUAGUGAAGAUCAUCAGACCUAGUGAGACUGCUGGUAGAUACAUCACCUACAGACUGGUGCAGUAAACACACACCAGCUCUAUUAUGGACCAGAAGGAGUAUGAGAUCUGAUGAUUGCGGACAGGGAAUGACUGAAGAUGUUUCAUCUGAAGAAGAAAGAACAUGCUCUCAUCACUUUGUCUCCCAAUAACUUUUGUGAAUAAGUUGACUUGCUUACCUUUUGGCACUACUAGUUUUUAUCAAUGUGCUUGAGGUGAUAACCUCUGCAUUUGUUGGAUUUAAAAAAAAAAAUAAGCAUUUUUAAUUUCAACGGGCAAAUGAUUUAUUUCAGAAGAAAUAAAUCCAACUGUUUUUAAUGUCGAA